CUUAUUAACUGCCAUUUUGCUUUCUCGUUUAAUUCCAGGAACUACGAAAAUGGAGGUCCUUUGUUUAAAGUUGCACGAAUUUCUAUAUUUCGGCGGAAUCAACAAGGAUAGCGAAUAGCCAUACAAUAAGUCUAACUACGCAAUACCGAAUAUGCCACAUUUAAAAGAGGAAGUGAGGAUUGCUUGCGCCCUAAUAAAUGCCUUCGGAAAAUGGGUGACAGAUCACCCACUCGUAAAUGAAAUAAUCAACGAAUACCUUAAGCACGACGCCCCAAACUAUCUGUGCGAGUUUGUAAUACAAAACAAUUUAAAUCAACGCAGAGCCGCUUUCCAAGCUAUAAACUCAAGUGAAGGCUUUCAACAGUUUCCCAUCUUAUCAUAUGAGGAUCUGUUGAUAAUGUCUCUGGGGCCGUAUCAAGUGACGCAGGCAAGAAGCUACUAUGGCGAACACCUAAAAGAAAACGGAACGUUUUUCAUUGAAGUGUAUGAAGAUUUUGAAGUUGACUAUAAUUUAAAUCAAUACAACAUAGUAGUUUGUGAUCCUUGGCUGACAAGAGCUAAAAUACUCUAGAGGCACCAGAGCAACAGAAUUUAUUUUGUAUAUAUCUUGCUAAAUAAUAGUUUGAAAAACAGAAAUAAACUUGUCGGUCACUAUUGCAGCUGUAUAGUUGGAAAACGGACACUCGGGUGCUGUGCUCAUGUCAUGUGCAUAGUUUGGUUUAAGGGAUGGGCUCGGCACCAAGAAAUUCAACCCCCUGCUGCCUUUUUAGAUCAAGUUAUUAUUUCUGAUGAAGAAGAAGAUUGAUUAUUCAAGAAGACUGAUAUUCAUUAUCGUAAUAGGUACGAAUUUGUAUAAAAAAAGCCUAUUUGUUAUAAGUAUACAGGGUGUUAGUGACAUCGCAUCGUAACGAAUACUCAGGGGGAUGAUUCAGACCAUGAUUCUGACUUAAUAUCAGGUCGAAUUUUUCGUCGCAAAAUUCAUGAUUUUUUUUAGUUUUUUAAAAUUAUUUUCAAUUCUAUACUUUUGCGAUGGAAAAUUCCACUUGAUAUUAACUCAGAAUAAUCAGCUGAAUCAUCCCCCUCAGUAUUCGUUACGAUGUCACUUACACCCCACACAAGUACAUACAGUAGCCAUACAAGUAGGUAUGGGUAUUAGUGACAACGUAACGAAUACUGAGGGGGAUGGUUCAGACCAUGAUUCUGAGUUGAUAUCAAGUGGAAUUUUCAGUCUGAAUAUUCAUGAAAAUUUUUGUGUCUUUUUCAAUUAUUUUUCGUUCCAUACUUUUGCGACGGAAAAUUCCACUUGAUAUCAUCUCAGAAUCAUGGCCUCAAUCACCCCUCAAAGUUUUCGUUACGAUGUCACUAACACCCUGUAUACACUGUAUGUAUUCAAUAACAAUUAGUAUUGAUUUCGUUUUUAAGCAAAAUAUAAAUAACUAUAUGACUACU